CCUUCACGCUCAGGGAUCACUGGACGUGGACAGACAGAUGCUCCGUCUGUCUCAGAGGAGACAGCGUCUGCGUCCCAAGCUGGAGGAGCUGCAGCUGCGAGUCGGUUCUCCACAGUACAGCAGCAGGGUUCCAGCCCACAUCCGACAGCAGACAGAGAGCAAGCUGUCAGCUCUACAGCAGGAGCUGAAGACCAUCGAGGAUCAGCUGAAGGAGCUGCAGGACAGACAAACUACAGAGUGACACGUGUCCACAGCUGGAGGCCACCUCUUCUACACCUGUCCUACACCUGUCCUACACCUGUCCACAGCUGUACAGACCUGUUAAAUCAUCCACCGGAUUAUUGAUCUUAGUUUCAAUGCUGCUGCAAUAAAUGAACAAUGUAAAAGAUGUCAAACGUUUCACUAGUUCUGUCUGUGCAUCAUUGCCUCCUGCUGUGCAUCAUUGCCUCCCGCUGUGCAUCAUUGCCUCCCGCUGUGCAUCAUUGCCUCCGCUGUGCAUCAUUGCCUCCUGCUGUGCAUCAUUGCCUCCCGCUGCAUGCUGCAGGUGAUCACAGGACAGGUUCAGACUGUUU